GCUGGGUGUGGUGGUGCACGCCUGUAGUCCCAGCUACUUGGUAGGCUGAUGCAGGAGAAUCACUUGAACCCAGGAAGUGGAGGUUGCAGUGAGCUGAGAUUGUGCCACUGCACUCCAACCUGGGUGACAGAGUGAGACUCUGUCUCAC
ensembl:misc_RNA Metazoa_SRP Metazoan signal recognition particle RNA